UCCCUGGUGGCUCAGACGGUAAAGCAUCUGCCUGCAGUUCGGGAGACCCGGGUUCGAUCCCUGGCUUGGGAA
rnacentral:tRNA from 1 species